rnacentral:rRNA from 1 species
UGCGUAGGCGGCUUUGCAAGUCAGAUGUGAAAUCUAUGGGCUCAACCCAUAGCCUGCAUUUGAAACUGCAGAGCUUGAGUGAAGUAGAGGCAGGCGGAAUUCCCCGUGUAGCGGUGAAAUGCGUAGAGAUGGGGAGGAACACCAGUGGCGAAGGCGGCCUGCUGGGCUUUAACUGACGCUGAGGCAAGACUGGGGAGCAACA